rnacentral:rRNA from 1 species
GAUGAACGCUGGCGGCGUGCCUAAUACAUGCAAGUCGAGCGAAUGACGAGGAGCUUGCUCAUCUGAUUUAGCGGCGGACGGGUGAGUAACACGUGGGUAACCUGCCUGUAAGACGGGGAUAACUCCGGGAAACCGGAGCUAAUACCGGAUGAUAACGAGAAGCGACUGCUUCUUUUUUGAAAGUCGGUUUCGGCUGACGCUUACAGAUGGGCCCGCGGCGCAUUAGCUAGUUGGUGAGGUAAAGGCUCACCAAGGCGACGAUGCGUAGCCGACCUGGGAGGGUGAGCGGCCACACUUAGACUGGGACACUGCCCAGACUCCUACGGGAGGCAGCAGUAGGGAAUCUUCGGCAAUGGACGAAAGUCUGACCGGGCAACGCCGCGUGAGCGAUGAAGGCCUUCGGGUCGUAAAGCUCUGUUGUCAGAGAAGAACAAGUAUCGGAGUAACUGCCGGUACCUUGACGGUACCUGACCAGAAAGCCACGGCUAACUACGUGCCAGCCGCCGCAGUAACAC